rnacentral:rRNA from 1 species
CAUGUCUUUUUGUUAAUGAUUUAAAGUCUGGCCUGCUCGAUGAGUUUUAAAUUGCCGCAGUAUUUUGACUGUGCAAAGGUAGCAUAAUAAUUAGUUUCUUAAUUAGGAGCUUGAAUGAAUGGUUUAACAAGAAAAUUUCUGUCUCUAUUUUAUUUUUUAUUGAAUUUUAUUUUUAAGUUAAAAAGCUUAAAUUUUUUUAAAAGACGAGAAGACCCUAUAGAGUUUUAUUUUUUGAUUUAUUUACUACUUAGGAAUUUAAUUGGAUUAAAUUAUUUGGUUGGGGUGACUCAUGGAUUUAUUAAAUUCUUUGACAAUAAGAUUGUUGAUUUUUAAAUUUAUUUUCUGUUUUCAAGUUUAAAUUAAAUUACCUUAGGGAUAACAGCGUAAUUUUUCUUUAAAGUUCUUAUUAAAAGGAGAGUUUGCGACCUCGAUGUUGGAUUAAAAUAAAUUUUUGGUGCAGUAACUUAGGGAUUAGGUCUGUUCGACCUUUAAAAUUUUACAUGAUCUGAGUUUAGACCGGCGUGAGCCAGGUUAGAUUCUAUCUUUAGGAUUUUAUAAUAUUUUAGUACGAAAGGACCAAAUAUUGAUUAAAGUAAUUG